rnacentral:rRNA from 1 species
AUGCACGCUUGCGGCGUGCCUAAUACCUGCAAGUCGAGCGAACAGAUGAGGAGCUUGCUCCUCUGACGUUAGCGGCGGACGGGUGAGUAACACGUGGAUAACCUACCUAUAAGACUGGGAUAACUUCGGGAAACCGGAGCUAAUACCGGAUAAUAUAUUGAACCGCAUGGUUCAAUAGUGAAAGACGGUUUUGCUGUCACUUAUAGAUGGAUCCGCGCCGCAUUAGCUAGUUGGUAAGGUAACGGCUUACCAAGGCAACGAUGCGUAGCCGACCUGAGAGGGUGAUCGGCCACACUGGAACUGAGACACGGUCCAGACUCCUACGGGAGGCAGCAGUAGGGAAUCUUCCGCAAUGGGCGAAAGCCUGACGGAGCAACGCCGCGUGAGUGAUGAAGGUCUUCGGAUCGUAAAACUCUGUUAUUAGGGAAGAACAAAUGUGUAAGUAACUAUGCACGUCUUGACGGUACCUAAUCAGAAAGCCACGGCUAACUACGUG